rnacentral:rRNA from 1 species
UACAGAGGGGGCAAGCGUUGUUCGGAAUUACUGGGCGUAAAGGGCGCGUAGGCGGUUUGUAUAGUCAGACGUGAAAUUCCUGGGCUUAACCUGGGGGCUGCGUUUGAUACGUGCAGACUUGAGUGAGGAAGAGGGUUGUGGAAUUCCGGGUGGAGCGGUGAAGUGCGUAGAGAUCCGGAGGAACACCGACGGCGAAGGCAGCGCCCUGGACGAGACCUGACGCUCAGGCACGAAAGCUGGGGGAGCAAACAGG